rnacentral:snoRNA from 1 species
AGCAUUUGAAAUAUGCUUAAAAGUUGGUGAGAUUGAUGAACAGAGAGGUGCUUAAAAUAUAUUCUCUUUUGUACCCUAGAACUCAUUGUUCAGUAUGAGUUUUGAUAUAUAUAAGAAGGAAUAUU